UUAAUUUUUUCAUAGUUCUGGAGGCGAGAAAUCCAAAAGCAUGGUGUCAACAGAGCUAUGCAUUCAAGGCUCUUGUAUUUCUCUCAGGAAUCCUUUCCCACCUCUUCCUUCCUAGCUCCUGGUGUUUGCUGGCAGAGCUUGGUAUUCCUUGACUCAUAGCUGCAUUACUCCAAUCUCUUCCUCCACUGUUUUCAUGACAUUUUCCCACGUGUGUGUCCAUAUCAAGUUUCCCCCUUCUGAGGACACCAGUCACUGGGCUAGAGUCUACUGUCAUCCAGUGUGACUUGAUCUUAACUUGUUUACAUCGGCAAGGACCCUAUGUCCAAAUAAGGUUGUAUUCAUAGGUUCUAAGGACGCAGAUUCUGGGGGAACACUGUUGUUUAACCCAGUACAGUUACUCUUUUCCCCUGAGGUAUUUAUGUGUAAUGUGAUAAUGUAAAAAACUUAAAAUCAUAGCUUUAUUUUUCAAGAGAGGUAAUUAGCUCUAUGCGUAUGUAUGUAUACAGUCUGUUCAAUGACCAUAAGUCUAUUCUUUAAAAAAGAAUAUGAUUUUAAUCACUAGGUAAUAUCCCUAUUUAAAAUUGUGAUAUGAAUAAUUAUAUUCUGUCUUCUUGAGGAGAGGCAGUAAAUUCAAGUUUUCAUGUGCAUUUUGGAUUUGUGCAGUAAGAGCAGCAACUGUAUUGUGCUGGUGAGUCUGUCAUUAACACAAUCUGAAGUGUUGUCCUUAAUAUAUUUUUUAAGUGGAGGACUGAACCUACCAGAUGUUAAAAUAUAUAUUAAGGCUAUGAUAAUCAAAGCAGGUUAGUAUUCAUUGAAGUAGAAAUGGCAAGACCCCUGGAAACUUUUAAUAGAGGAUUGCUAAUUAAAAUAACAAAGACGCUAACCAAAUAGAAAUGCAGGGUUCAAAAAGUUUGGUAACAGAACCUCGGGUAUCCAUUGGGGCAGCUUCUACAUCAUUUAAAAGGCACAACAAAGAAUAUAUAUUCAAGCAUGUCUAAUGCAUGUUGUUUGUAAAAGCCAAAGAAGUAUGUGGUGGAAUAAGUGCAUAUACUUAGUGAAAUACUGUAUACUUGUAGGAAGAAUGAGCUGUAUUCACAUUUAGAGAUAUGAAAUCAGUAAAAAACAAAAGUGAACAUAUGGGGCUACCAUUUACUUAAGAAAGGAGGAAUAAUGCCUCUAUAUAUUUCUAUAUGCUUUUGUGUAAUUAUAAAAUGUUUAUGUAAGCAUGUAUAAGAAAGUCAAUCCUGGUUGCUUUGGGAAACAGAUCUGAAGUCGAAAACUAGACUUCUCACGAUGUAUCUUUUUUUACUCUUAUUUACGUGUAUUUAACUGGGUGCCUACAUUUUUUUAGUGCAACUAAUUUUUAAGACAAUUGACAAAACAAAACAAGCCUGAUUCUUUAGUUUCCUAAGGGUACAGAAAUGUUGAAUGCAUUAAAAGUCAUGCUAAUACAGAUGUGUUUUUGACCCGUGUUUCUCUAGAAGAUUAAUAAGGACCCGUUAGCCCCUUGUUUUAUUUAAAAUGAGGAAAAGGCAAUCUUAUAUGUAUGCUGAGUGUUAGUAUUUCAGAGUUUGUACAUAUUUACUUGAUGCUUGGGUGUAAGUCAGUUCACUCAUGAAGCCCUACCAGUGGGGAAGGGGACUGAUGUUGACUGUACAGUAACAGUCCUUGGCCAUUCAGAGUAUCCAAGAGCUGUUCCGAGUUAGUUCAUAAAGGAACACAAAGUUAGCAAUAUUUGCAGGAUGAGUUCCCAGUCUGCAUAUGUACGUCCAAGUGAGCACAAAGUCUCUUAAAUCUAAUUUCUUGUUUUAACUUAAAAUAUAAGACACAACAAAGUAAACAUGUAAGUAUACAACCUGAUGAAUUUUCAUAAACAUUCCUGUGGAACCAGUGACCAGGUCAAGAAACAUUUCUGGCACCUGAAAAUCCCCCAUGGAUCUCCUUCCAGUCACUAUCUACCCAUGAAAGUAACUCUAUCCUGAACUGAGACAACAUUAAUUUUGCCUGGUUUCGUCUUUUAUGUAAUAAAGUUACAGAAUAUGUGUUCUUUUGUAUCUGGCUGCUUCAGCAUUAUUUGGGAAAAUAUUUUUCUUAGGAAUUGUCAAGGACACGCAUUUCAGCUGCAAUUAGGAACAAAAUACUUAAACUCCUGGAAAUUAUCUGUGGCACAGUGUGCUAGGAUGGUGCAAUUGACAAACACUGUUUGGAACAAAAUACAGAUGCAAACAGGUUCUGCAGGGCCUUGUGCAAUUGGCCCCAACCUGUUUCUCUAGACUCACCUGUGGUUCUCCCUGCCACCCACUGUCUUAGCAGCACAACCCUCUGUGUAUUCACUCAUCAAGUCAUAUCUUAACUGUUGGAUCUGUGAAGACUUCCUCAUCUGUUCUGAACCGGUAGAUUUUACAAGCUUUGCAUAUUCUUCACUGUGCUCUUUAUUGUAGCAUUUGUCACAUUUUAAUCACUAGUCGACAGUCUCCAUUUGCCAGGUUCUUUCACCCUAUCCUUAGUGAUUAGCAUCAUACCUAACCCAUUAAAAGCACAACACAAAUGUUGACUAAAUGAGAGAGAUCCCUCUCCAAGGACUUGAUAAUUUCCUGGGGUAGACAGGUAUCCAGAAACUGAUCUUUAAUACAUCACACUUAUAUGCCAACCACUGUUCUAAGUGCUCUACUAAUUCUCAUUAUAAUGUUGGAAGGCAGGUACUAUUAUGAUGCCUGUUUUGCAAACUAGGAGAUAAGUAAUUUGCCCAAGCUCACCUAACUGGUAAAGUGGCAGAGCUAAAGGUAAUGGAUCCAGGCAGUCUGGUUCCAAUGUCCUAUCAUAGUCUCUUCUCUAAUAAAAGAAGUCAUGCUAGAAAGGUAUAUUGAGGUCAGAUCAUGUAAGACCUUGGAUGCCAUGCUAAGGAGUUUUGACUUCUGUAGGCAAUUGAGAGCCAAUGAGGUCAUUGAGUAAAUGAUUGGUUUUAUGUUUGAAGAAAGUGAUUUCAGUAACAAUAAAGUGGCCUGGCAGAUAACAGAAAGAUUGGAAUGAGUCCUGCAGAAGUCCUGUUGGAGUCAGGGGCAAUGGAAAUGAAAAGGGGGAGCAAGACCUUCCAACUGAAUGCACAUCAGGCUGUCUUCCUUCAGAGACCCAGUACAAGAGUAAAGGGACCAAAAUCAAGAGCAAUGAGACACCCAAGGACCAACAGCAGACCUAGGAAAACCAAAUCCCUAGCUGCAAUGGGAGCUGAGAAGCAGCCUGAUUACCAGGCUGAUCCCCCUGAAGUCUCAGGAGUAUCAAGUACCAUACUGUGUACCAAAGGGAUGGUUGAUUGAAGACUUAGAUGAGAAAUAAUUACCUCUAAGUUCUCUGCCCCAAUACAUGUAGCUAUACCACCUGUGGUUCUCCCUCACUGCUCUCUCCCAGACACAGGUAAAAUAUUUCCCAAAAAGAGUAAAACAGAGGGUCUUUGGACUGGGGAGCAUCAAGAAGAGCCAAGGAUAGGCACACCACUUUGAAAAUGGGAAUUAAUUAGAAACACACUUGAUGUGGAGAACCACCACCAUCGCCAUCCUUCUCCCCAAAUGAUUGGAGAGACAUUUCUGGGGAAUCUACUCAGUCCAAGGAAAAAGAUCUAAAGACACACUGGAGGUUCCCCAGAGAAAUUACUUGGCCAGGUCACCCUCCCAUGAAGCCCGUGGUCAUGCCUUUCACUGGUGUGCAGAGAGAGCUUCUAAUAAUCAUUUAAGUGCCCAGUUCCUGCAAGGGACAAACACCCAAGGAUCAUCAGACAUUUGGGGAAAGUGUCCAAAGUAAAAGACAGAGACCAAAACCAACAAGGUAGAGAAAGCAAGCAGGAAAUUAAUCUAUUAAUAUCCUCAGAGAUAAGUGGCAAUGCUAUAAAGGAUAUUACAUAGAGUAUUCAAUAAGGAGAAAAAACCUUAAACAUGAAUAAUAUAGUAGCAAAAAUGAAAAAAAAUAUGCAAAAUUAAGUUGAGAAAUCUAGAAAAUAGAGAAACUGGAAGAAGAAAUUGGAAAAUAGAGCAAAAUAGGAAAUUUGAGGGACCAGCCAUAAGGCUCAAUGACUUGAAGUUCCACACAGAAAAGGUGAAAUGGAGAAGAGAAAGGACUAUAGAAAUUUGAAAAAAAUUUCCAGAAUGAGAGACUUUGAAUCUUUUAAACAAUGGUGCCAUCAUCAGCACAGACUGAUAGAAAUCCUCUGUCAAAAAUUAGAAUUAGGGCAAACAUAGGAACCAGUGGAAAGUCACGGGGGAAGGUGUGAUUGCCCUGAGCCUGGAGAGAGGCAGGGGAAAAAGGCCUGGAAAGAAGAAGGGAAAUAAAUCACAGAGACAGGAGAACAGGAAAUAACCACACAGAAACUAAGAGAUGUGAGGGCUUUGAGAAGGAAAAUGUACCCAGCUUUUGCCAUCUCUGAAAAGAAGCCACUGGGUGUUUUGACCACGAGGGGCUGUUGGUGACCUCCGAGAAAGCAAUUUUAGUUGAACCCGAAUGUGCACGGGAGAAAAGCCACAACGACAGUGGAUUUCAGCUCCAUUUGUGUUCUGUGCCACCUGAACGCGGGGAUUUUUUUGUGCCAUCUUUGAACCAACAGAAAGGCUGAAAACCACAGCUUCCAAGUCCGCACCAACUUGCACGCGGUCACCGCAGGCAAUGUUCAGGUCGCCAGGGACCUCCUUAGGCUCUGAACUAACUUGCUGCUGCUCCUCCCACGUCUCUGGAAGCAUGCUCCCCGCCCCACCCAACACCCCACUGGAGCUUCAUUCACAGACUUGGAAUGCCCAGUAUUGAAACAGGAAACAACAUCUCAUCAGGAAGAGCCAGAAGGUGCCAUCCAGUAGCUUUGCCUCACGUCACUGAUCGCACGCCGUCAGAAAUCUUGACUUGCAACUUUAGAGGGCGGGUCUCUGAAAGAAUUUCAGAGCUUACGCAGAGGUGAGGUGUGUUGCUCUCUGAUGAGAACGAAGCUGGCUGGAACACUGGAAAUCUGACUCUGACUGCUCUUCACAGUCAAGGGGCAUCUCUUUUGGACUGAAGUUUCAGAAAGAAUGUUUCAGUCGUUUAAAGAAUGGUUUUGGUUGGAAAGAUUCUGGCUUCCUCCAACAAUAAAGUGGUCAGAUCUUGACGAUCAUGAUGGACUCGUCUUUGUAAAAGCUUCUCAUUUAUAUAUGACAAUUCCAUAUGCUUUCGUCUUGCUGAUAAUCAGACAUUUCUUUGAAAAGUUUAUUGCUACACCUCUAGCUAAAACAUUAGGCAUUAAAGAGGAAGUUCGAAAGGCUAUACCAAAUACUGUCUUAGAGAAUUUUUUCCAACAUUCCACGAGGCAGCCAUCUCAGGUAAGUACAGAUUUUGCUUUUGGAUUUAAAGAUUUCCUUUCCUCAUGUUUUAGUGAACUGUAGCUUACUUCAUCUAUGCAAGAAAUCUGUUCCAGUUAACGAGCAAAUUAUUUGAUUCAUUUAGAUUUUUUCUCUAUUGACAGGUCAUACAACAUUCUAAGCAUAGUAUAAAACAACAAAUAAAUAUUGUAAUUUGAAACAACCAAGGUUAUAACCAGCAACUAUAUUGCUGAACACUAACAAUCAAUGCCAUAAUUUGGGUAUAGAGAUCAAAAUUAAAUUUUUAAUGGUAGGGUACAUAUGAUGGACUGGUCAGAAAAGACCAUUCAUUGUCAAGGCCAUGUAGGCCAUCUC